AUUGAACGCUGGCGGCAUGCCUUACACAUGCAAGUCGAACGGCAGCACGGGAGCAAUCCUGGUGGCGAGUGGCGAACGGGUGAGUAAUAUAUCGGAACGUGCCCAGUCGUGGGGGAUAACGCAGCGAAAGCUGUGCUAAUACCGCAUACGAUCUACGGAUGAAAGCGGGGGAUCGCAAGACCUCGCGCGAUUGGAGCGGCCGAUAUCAGAUUAGCUAGUUGGUGGGGUAAAGGCCCACCAAGGCGACGAUCUGUAGCUGGUCUGAGAGGACGACCAGCCACACUGGAACUGAGACACGGUCCAGACUCCUACGGGAGGCAGCAGUGGGGAAUUUUGGACAAUGGGCGCAAGCCUGAUCCAGCAAUGCCGCGUGCAGGAUGAAGGCCUUCGGGUUGUAAACUGCUUUUGUACGGAACGAAACGGCCCUUUCUAAUACAGGGGGCUAAUGACGGUACCGUAAGAAUAAGCACCGGCUAACUACGUGCCAGCCGCCGCCGUUAAUAC
rnacentral:rRNA from 1 species